UUGAACGCUGGUGGCAGGCUUAACACAUGCAAGUCGAACGGUAACAGGAAUUAGCUUGCUAAUUUGCUGACGAGUGGCGGACGGGUGAGUAAUGCUUGGGAAUCUGGCUUAUGGAGGGGGAUAACUACGGGAAACUGUAGCUAAUACCGCGUAAAAUCUUCGGAUUAAAGGGUGGGACUUUCGAGCCACCUGCCAUAAGAUGAGCCCAAGUGGGAUUAGGUAGUUGGUUAGGUAAAGGCUGACCAAGCCGACGAUCUCUAGCUGGUCCGAGAGGAUGACCAGCCACACUGGAACUGAGACACGGUCCAGACUCCUACGGGAGGCAGCAGUGGGGAAUAUUGCACAAUGGGGGGAACCCUGAUGCAGCCAUGCCGCGUGAAUGAAGAAGGCCUUCGGGUUGUAAAGUUCUUUCGGUGACGAGGAAGGUUGAUAGGUUAAUAGCCUAUCAAAUUGACGUUAAUCACAGAAGAAGCACCGGCUAACUCCGUG
rnacentral:rRNA from 1 species